AACGAACGCUGGCGGCAGGCUUAACACAUGCAAGUCGAGCGCCCCGCAAGGGGAGCGGCAGACGGGUGAGUAACGCGUGGUAAUCUACCCAUCACUACGGAACAACCCCGGGAAACUGGAGCUAAUACCGUAUACGUCCUUCGGGAGAAAGAUUUAUCGGUGAUGGAUGAGCCCGCGUUGGAUUAGCUAGUUGGUGGGGUAAUGGCCUACCAAGGCGACGAUCCAUAGCUGGUCUGAGAGGAUGAUCAGCCACACUGGGACGGAGACACGGCCCAGACUCCUACGGGAGGCAGCAGUGGGGAAUAUUGGACAAUGGGCGAAAGCCUGAUCCAGCCAUGCCGCGUGAGUGAUGACGGCCCUAGGGUUGUAAAGCUCUUUCGCAGGUGAAGAUAAUGACGGUAACCUGAGAAGAAGCCCCGGCUAACUUCGUGCCAGCAGCCGCCGUAA
rnacentral:rRNA from 1 species